UACGUAGGGUGCAAGCGUUAAUCGGAAUUACUGGGCGUAAAGCGUACGCAGGCGGCUUUGCAAGACAGGUGUGAAAUCCCCGGGCCUAACCUGGGAACUGCAUUUGUGACUGCAUGGCUAGAGUUUGUCAGAGGGGGGUGGAAUUCCACGUGUAGCAGUGAAAUGCGUAGAUAUGUGGAGGAGCACCGAUGGCGAAGGCAGCCCCCUGGGAUGUGACUGACGCUCAUGUACGAAAGCGUGGGGAGCAAACAGG
rnacentral:rRNA from 1 species